rnacentral:rRNA from 1 species
GUCUGGCAAUUGGAAUGAGAACAAUUUAAAUCCCUUAUCGAGUAUCAAUUGGAGGGCAAGUCUGGUGCCAGCAGCCGCGGUAAUUCCAGCUCCAAUAGCGUAUAUUAAAGUUGUUGCAGUUAAAAAGCUCGUAGUUGGAUUUCUGGUGCAUUCCACUGGCCUAUUGGUUAACUCCAACUUGGCUCAUUUGGAAUACGCCAUCUUUAGGCAGACCCGUCGUGGCAUUAGGUUGUCGUGAUGGUUACGCCUAUCGUUUACUGUGAAGAAAUUAGGGUGUUCAAAGCAGGCUUAUGCCAUGAAUACGUUAGCAUGGAAUAAUGAGAUAGGAUUUCGGUACUAUUUUGUUGGUUUGUGUACGGAAAUAAUGAUUAACAGGAACAGUGUUGUGGGUAUUCGUAUUUCGUUGUCAGAGGUGAAAUUCUUGGAUUUACGAAAGACGAACGACUGCGAAAGCAUUUACCAAGGAUGUUUUCAUUAAUCAAGAACGAAAGUUAGGGGAUCGAAGAUGAUUAGAUACCAUCGUAGUCUUAACCAUAAACU